rnacentral:tRNA from 1 species
UGGGGGAUCGUUUAGUGGCAAGACGGCAGGUUCUGGCCCUGCAAACCAAGGUUCGAAUCCUUGUCCCCCAGCCA